CUCAUCGCAAGCAGUUUUGGGAAGUCAGCCACUGCUGACAGAGAGUUCUCCAAAGAAGACAUGGCCAAGAGCCUGCUGCACAUGAUCAGCAAUGACAUUGGACAGCUCGCCUGUCUCUACGCCAAGCUUCAUGGCCUAGACAGGGUCUACUUUGGGGGUUUCUUCAUCCGGGGUCACCCUGUGACCAUGCGCACCAUCACCUACAGCAUUAACUUCUUCUCUAAGGGUGAAGUCCAGGCACUCUUCCUGAGACAUGAAGGCUACCUGGGAGCCAUCGGGGCAUUUUUGAAAGGAGCCGAGCAAGAUAGUGAGUAGAGUCACCGCAGUGAGCCGUGGCUGGCUGCGGCUGGCUGCGUAGGAUGUGGCCUGCGCAGGGCGUGGCCUGUGCCCCUGGCUGGGCAUCUGGGUGGGAGAGCGGGGACCAGGGGGUGGGACAUGAGGCUCGAGGAAGCCACAGAAAGGGGUAAUCCACAGCGUGUAAAUAGACCAGUGAUUUUAUCCCUUUUCCUCCUCUACUUUCCCCUUUGGAUCAAGGGCGAGGCUGACACGGUGACCGGCUUCUCGUUUUUCCAGAUCCUAACCAGUACAGCUGGGGUGAGAACUACGCGGCCAGCUCCGGGCUGAUGAGCACGGCGCCGGAGCUGUGCCCGACACAGCGGGCAAGGAGCGGCACAUUUGACCUGCUGGAAAUGGACCGACUGGAGAGGCCCCUGGUCAACCUGCCCCUCCUCCUGGACCCAUCCUCCUAUGUGCC
rnacentral:lncRNA from 1 species